GAUUUAGUCGUAAUUUGCACCAGAAUAUAAUAAUCAGCCCUGUAGCAUCAGCUCAUAUGACAAGUGAACCGCUAACCUUGGCUUUUUAAUAGCUGCCCAGAGCACACUGAGCAUGUGCAUGUACAACACUGAAGGCCUGAAUCACUACUGUUAUAGAGAUUCUGAAACUUUAGGUUGUGCCAUAAGCUCAUUAUAUAACUCACAUCAUUUUUACUAAUAUUUGUUUUAAAGGUUUAGUUCUCCAUAAAAAUAAGUGAAAUUGCUGUAAUAAUAUAGCUUUGCAUUCUGUAUAACAUCAUACAAUAUAUAGCAUGCAUUUAUGGGAAUUUUUGCUUUACUGCCCAUUUAAUGGUCUUUACUCACUCUAUAAUACAUUUCUUUUUGUGAGCAUAUCCCUAUACGGAUCCCUUUCCUUUCGCUCCUUGGCAAUUAGAAGAAUGAAGACAUGUCUGAGCUUGCAUUGAUGGAUAGAGCAUUACCCAGGAGUGUAUACAAAUGGCACGUUUGCAUAAGGAGCUGAACAGAAGUGCCAGGCUUUCCCAGUGGCGCAGGGGUGCCCCAAGGGCUAGCUGCCUGUCUCCAGGUAGUUGUGCUAAAUGCAGGUGAUGCACAUUAAGCCAGGGGCCUUGGUGGUGUCCUACAAAUUGUCAGCUUUUCCAUUACUGAAGACUCCUGAAUGUUUUAACAGAAGCCACACCAGAGAACUAGCGGUUUCCAUAUUUGUUUUGCAUUAAUUGUGUGUCACUAUGUUCUGUACACUGUGUGUCAAUUUGACCUUCAUUUUCUAGUUCUGUGUGAGAUUACACAUUCUGUGCUUGCAUCUAAACCAUAAGUAUAUUUAAUGCUGUUUUUGAUUACAUGACAUCGAAUGUGCUUUAUACAGAAUACAGAUUUGUGAAAAUACAACAAAAAACAAUGACUGUGAGUUCUUCGA